CCCCGGCGACCUCCUGCCCGACCCACCGCAGAGCUGGCCGCGGGGCACCGGCCGCCCCUGCCCGCUCCGACGGGAGGCCCCCUGCCCGCUCGGAGGGGAGGCCGGAGGCCGGGGAGGGGCUCGCAGGACCCGUGCUGGGGACCCCGGUGCCGCGUCAUCUGGGUCAUCUGUGUCACCUGCGGUGCUGGGAGUUCCACUCCCAGAAGGGCCUGGGCAGCCCUGGGCGGGGCCGGGCCUCUGUCCUCCGCGGGAGGUGGCCCUGCCUGGCUGCCAUCUCCAGGGAGCCCCAUGGGCAGGUCAGCGGGCGGCUCUCUAAGCCUCCUCAGCUGGGGGCUGGACGCUGUCCCGCGGGCCUCCCCACGUCCAGCCUGGCCUCUCGUGUGUGUUCCCACAGGAGCCGAGCAAACCUGGGCAGAGCCUGGCGCACGCUGGUGCCCACAGCCAGUUGGUGAAUGUGCACGAGUGCGUCCCUGAGGACCCUGAGCAGAAGGGAGGACCCUGGGAAGAGGAAGAGAGAAGGUCUUAUAAAGCGCCUACUGUGUGCCGCGGACCCUUCUCACUCCCAUCACCUGCAGGACUCACACAGGUAGUGACUGAGCACCUACCAGGCGCCAAAGUCCCUGACCCCCGGAGCCGAGUGGUGCCGCGACCCCAGGGAGCAGGUGCAGACGGGCAGCUGCAGAGGGGGCGGGGGAGGGUCCCAUGCCACCUCCCAAGAGCGGGGAGGGGGGCGGCUCACCCACACCUUUAUGCAGCAGGGGACGCACGGGUUACCAGGCACAGACUGGGGACCUGUGGGGACCUUCAGGGAGCAGGAAACACGCUGUGAAAGAGGAGACCCUUGGUGCUGAGCAAGUGCAGGCCGGCCUCGCCCCUCAGCCGGGCAGGUCCUGAGGAAGUGAGCUGUGCCCUUGCCGGGACCCUACCGGCGGAUCCAGAGCCUGGGAGGAACAGCGUCCCCUUCCUGGCAGGGCACAGCUGGCCAAAGGCCGGACGCGUCACCCCGCCCCUGGAAGCUGGUGGCUGGGUGGAAACGCCCUGCCUUGGCUGUGUCCCCUGGGGAAGGUGCUCCAGGCAGGCUGCCUCGACUCAGCGAGCCUCAGUGUCCUCAUCUGCAAGGGGCACAGUGAUGCCCGGCCUGCCCAGUGGGCAAGAGGACAUCUCUAGGGCCCUCCCUUACCCUGGGUCCUCAGGAUCCCUGGAAACCACCGUCUCUGGGACUGGGGUGGGAAGGAGAUGACGGGGGCAGCCCAGACUCCUCAGCUCCAGACCCUGAGUCAGGGGACCCUGAGGGCCUUGGCAGGAAGUGACCCGGAGCCUCACGUACAACGGAAGGAAACUGAGGUACUCGCAGGCUCAGGCUGCCAGCCGCUGUGCUACGCCUCAGCCCAGGCUCCACGGUGUCCUCCAACAGCCCCAGGGGAGCAGGCAAGGCCGACUCGGAGACGGAGACGCAGCUGGAGGCCACAGCACCAGUUAAUGGGGAGCAGGCGGCAGCUGACCAGAGCAGGCGGCUUAGGCCUGUCCCCUGCAGGAGGAGGAGGAUGGACAAGGGGCCUGGGUCAGCUCCACGUUCAGCCCCCUGGGUGGCCCAGGGCAGCUUGCAGAAGCCCAGCCCAGCCCCGCCCAGCAACCUGCAGGUACCAGGUCCAGCCAGAGAGGACGCCAGGCCAGCCACCAGGCAACAAUAAACGUGAGCGGGUUAAACGGGUCUGUUAAAAGCAGAGACUCUCACAUUAGACCAAAAACCAAAUGAAUAUGUGCUGAACCAUC